AGCGAACGCUGGCGGCAGGCCUAACACAUGCAAGUCGAACGGACCCUUCGGGGUUAGUGGCGGACGGGUGAGUAACACGUGGGAACGUGCCCUUUGGUUCGGAACAACACAGGGAAACUUGUGCUAAUACCGGAUAAGCCCUUCGGGGGAAAGAUUUAUUGCCAUUGGAGCGGCCCGCGUUGGAUUAGGUAGUUGGUGAGGUAAAGGCUCACCAAGCCUGCGAUCCAUAGCUGGUCUGAGAGGAUGAUCAGCCACAUUGGGACUGAGACACGGCCCAAACUCCUACGGGAGGCAGCAGUGGGGAAUCUUGCGCAAUGGGCGAAAGCCUGACGCAGCCAUGCCGCGUGAAUGAUGAAGGUCUUAGGAUUGUAAAAUUCUUUCAGCGGGGACGAUAACGACGGUACCCGCAGAAGAAGCCCCGGCUAACUUCGUGCCAGCAGCCGCGGUAAUACGAAGGGGGCUAGCGUUGCUCGGAAUUACUGGGCGUAAAGGGAGCGUAGGCGGAUAGUUUAGUCAGAGGUGAAAGCCCAGGGCUCAACCUUGGAAAUGCCUUUGAUACUGGCUAUCUUGAGUAUGGGAGAGG
rnacentral:rRNA from 1 species